GGCGUGGUAGCUCAGCUGGUUACCCCGAAAGCUUUCGGGGUGAUUCAUAAUCCAAAGGUCGGCGGUUCAAGCCCGCCCCACGCUA
rnacentral:tRNA from 1 species